rnacentral:rRNA from 1 species
UACGUAGGGACCAAGCGUUGUUCGGAUUUACUGGGCGUAAAGGGCGCGUAGGCGGCGAAUCAAGUCAGCUGUGAAAUCUCCGAGCUUAACUCGGAACGGUCAGCUGAUACUGUUUUGCUAGAGUGCAGAAAGGGCAACCGGAAUUCUUGGUGUAGCGGUGAAUGCGUAGAUAUCAAGAGGAACACCUGCGGCGAAGGCGGGUUGCUGGGCUGACACUGACGCUGAGGCGCGAAAGCUAGGGGAGCAAACGGGG